GCGAACGCUGGCGGCAGGCCUCACACCUGCCAGUCGCACGAACUCUUCGGAGUUAGUGGCGGACGGGUGAGUAACACGUGGGAACGUGCCUUUUGGUUCGGAAUAACUCAGGGAAACUUGUGCUAAUACCGAAUGUGCCCUUCGGGGGAAAGAUUUAUCGCCAUUAGAGCGGCCCGCGUCUGAUUAGCUAGUUGGUGAGGUAACGGCUCACCAAGGCGACGAUCAGUAGCUGGUCUGAGAGGAUGACCAGCCACACUGGGACUGAGACACGGCCCAGACUCCUACGGGAGGCAGCAGUGGGGAAUCUUGCGCAAUGGGCGAAAGCCUGACGCAGCCAUGCCGCGUGAAUGAUGAAGGUCUUAGGAUUGUAAAAUUCUUUCACCGGGGACGAUAAUGACGGUACCCGGAGAAGAAGCCCCGGCUAACUUCGUG
rnacentral:rRNA from 1 species